rnacentral:rRNA from 1 species
CCUACGGGAGGCAGCAGUGGGGAAUAUUGGGCAAUGGGGGCAACCCUGACCCAGCAACGCCGCGUGAAUGAAGAAGGCUUUCGGGUUGUAAAGUUCUGUUAUCAGGGACGAAGCCAGUGACGGUACCUCAAUAAUAAGCCACGGCUAACUACGUGCCAGCAGCCGCGGUAAUACGUAGGUGGCAAGCGUUAUCCGGAAUUACUGGGUGUAAAGGGCGUGUAGGCGGGUGAGCAAGUCAGAUGUGAAAAUCAGGGGCUCAACCUGGGGGCUGCAGUUGAAACUAUUUGACUAGAGUGCAGGAGAGGUAAGUGGAAUUCCUAGUGUAGCGGUGGAAUGCGUAGAUAUUAGGAGGAACACCAGUGGCGAAGGCGGCUUACUGGACUGUAACUGACGCUGAGGCGCGAAAGCGUGGGGAGCAAACAGGAUUAGAUACCCCUGUAGUC